rnacentral:rRNA from 1 species
GGCUGCGGACAGACAGCAGUGGCGAACAGUGUUCUUUUAAGUUUGACCUCAAAUCAGGUAGGAGUACCCGCUGAACUUAAGCAUAUCAAUAAGCGGAGGAAAAGAAACCAACCGGGAUUGCCUUAGUAGCGGCGAGUGAAGCGGCAAGAGCUCAAAUUUGAAAUCUAGCGCCUUCGGUGCUCGAGUUGUAAUUUGGAGAGUGGAUCCUUGGGGCCGUUCCUUGCCUAUGUUCCUUGGAACAGGACGUCAUGGAGGGUGAGAACCCCGUGUGGCGAGGGGCGCGGUUCCGUGUAAGGGCUGCUCGAAGAGUCGAGUUGUUUGGGAAUGCAGCUCUAAGUGGGUGGUAAAUUCCAUCUAAAGCUAAAUAUUGGCGAGAGACCGAUAGCGAACAAGUACAGUGAUGGAAAGAUGAAAAGAACUUUGAAAAGAGAGUGAAAAAGUACGUGAAAUUGUUGAAAGGGAAGGGCAUUUGAUCAGACAUGGUGUUUUGCGCCCCCUGCUCCUCGUGGGCGGGGGACUCUCGCAGCUCACUGGGCCAGCAUCAGUUUUGGCGGCCGGACAAAGCCGGAGGAAUGUGGCUUCUCUCGAGAAGUGUUAUAGCCUGCGGGAAUGCGGCCAGCCGGGACUGAGGAACGCGACUUUUGUCAAGGAUGCUGGCAUAAUGG